AGGGUUGUCCACAACUUUCCAAGAAGAUUACCAGAACACCUGCUCAGAACCAAAUCGGACGAACAGAAAACCACUACCAAAUUGGACAAUACGUGCAAAAAUGAAAUGAAGUGAAAGGAGUUGUCGAUAGCUUUCCAAGAAAAUUACCAGAAAACCUGCUACCAGGACCAAAUAGUACGACCAGAAGACAUCUACCAAAUUGGACAAUACGUGCAAAAAUGAAAUGAAGUGAAAAUGGGGUUGUCUACAACUUUCCAAGAACAUUACCAGAAAACCUGCUCAGGACCAAAUAGGACGACCAGAAG